AGAGUUUGAUUCUGGCUCAGGAUGAACGCUAGCUACAGGCUUAACACAUGCAAGUCGAGGGUAGCAGGGUAGCAAUACCGCUGACGACCGGCGCACGGGUGAGUAACACGUAUCCAACCUUCCCAUAACUCAGGGAUAGCCUUUCGAAAGAAAGAUUAAUACCUGAUAGUACUUUUUCAAGGCAUCUUGAGAAAGUUAAGAUUUAUUGGUUAUGGAUGGGGAUGCGUUCCAUUAGAUAGUUGGUGAGGUAACGGCUCACCAAGUCUUCGAUGGAUAGGGGUUCUGAGAGGAAGGUCCCCCACAUUGGUACUGAGACACGGACCAAACUCCUACGGGAGGCAGCAGUGAGGAAUAUUGGUCAAUGGGCGGGAGCCUGAACCAGCCAAGUCGCGUGAAAAGGAAGAAGGAUCUAUGGUUCGUAAACUUCUUUUGCAGGGGAAUAAAGUGCAGGACGUGUCCUGUUUUGUAUGUACCCUGAGAAUAAGGAUCGGCUAACUCCGUGCCAGCCGCAGC
rnacentral:rRNA from 1 species